CCCCCAAAAAAAAUUUUUUCCCCCCCCCCUUUUUUUUUGGGGGGGGGGCCCCAAAUUUUUUUUAAAAAAAUUUGGGGGGGAAAAAUUUUAAACCCCGGGGGGGGGGGGGGAAAAAAAACCCGGGUUUUGGGGGAAAUUUUUUCCCCCCCCCCCCA